rnacentral:rRNA from 1 species
UACGUAGGAGGCGAGCGUUGUCCGGAGUUACUGGGCGUAAAGGGUGCGCAGGCGGCGGUUCGCGUGGAUAGAUGAAAUCUCCUGGCUUACCUGGGAGGAUGGUAUCCAGACGGGAUCGCUUGAGGGUCGGAGAGGGGCGUGGAAUUCCGGGUGGAGCGGUGAAAUGCGUAGAGAUCCGGAGGAACACCGACGGCGUAGGCAGCGCCCUGGACGACACCUAACGCUGAGGCACGAAAGCUGGGGGAGCGAACAGG